rnacentral:rRNA from 1 species
CCGUCGUACGGGUGCGUAACGCGUAUGCAACCUACCUUCAACUGGGGAUAGCCCGGGGAAAUCCGGAUUAAUACCCCAUAAUACUUGAAAUGGCAUCAUUUUAAGUUGAAAGCUACGGCGGUUAGAGAUGAGUAUGCGUCUGAUUAGUUAGUUGGUGAGGUAACGGCUCACCAAGACCACGAUCAGUAGGGGAUCUGAGAGGAUUAACCCCCACACGGAUACUGAGACACGGAUCCG